CACUGCUGCCGCACACUAUUGGGUUACAAUAAUAAUAUCUAAUACGUUUAAUAAUGUUAUUAUAAUGUUAUAUAGGUGCCGAUACGAUAUUAUAAUAUUAUGCGCUGGGAAUAUGGCUCGGUUUCGAAAAAAAAUAUAUACGAGUAAAUCCCGAGGCGUGCCUUAAAUUUAAUUGAGAACUCGUUAUUGUAUAGCAGCAGUUUAUAUAGGUGUAUUCGCGUAUUUAUAAUAUGUACGCAGGUACAUCGCCUCACGAGGAUCCGGCAACUAUAUCGGUCGACUCAUUCGAUGAUAAUAAUAAUAAUAAUAUGAUACAACUAUUAUACACAAACAGAAAUGGAGAAAUUCAGAGACAUUAUGUGUUUGCGAAUAAAGUUUAACUCUACGCGUAACUGUGAAUCCAUUGCAAAGAAUAACUCAGUGACGAGGAAAAUAUUUACAAGCUACAUCAAGCUGCAGUAACUAACAUUGUACGUAACACUCAUUCAAUUAGUUGCUGUAAUUCUGUGCGAUUAAAAAAAAUAUUUAAUACGUAUGUUGACCUCGUGGUCGAAGUAAUCAGCAACUAUAUGGGACUGCAACGCCGUUAUUUUAGUAUCCUCAUUCUUUAUGAACGUAUCACGUGUACGGCACAUCAAGUAACGUACUAAAUUAUAAUGUAUCUGUACUCUAUAGAUUUAUUAUAUUGUUUUAUUCUACUAUAAUAGUUCGUCAUGACUAAUCGAAUGAGACCGGUUUUAAGAUUUAACGAUAUACGUAAUAAUGUAAGUAAUAACAUACAAGACAUCAA